GGAGCUGAAGUCAGUCGAAGAUACCAGCUGGCUGCAACUGUUUAUUAAAAACACAGCACUGUGCAAACACGAAAGUGGACGUAUACGGUGUGACGCCUGCCCGGUGCCGGAAGGUUAAUUGAUGGGGUCAGCGCAAGCGAAGCUCCUGAUCGAAGCCCCGGUAAACGGCGGCCGUAACUAUAACGGUCCUAAGGUAGCGAAAUUCCUUGUCGGGUAAGUUCCGACCUGCACGAAUGGCGUAAUGAUGGCCAGGCUGUCUCCACCCGAGACUCAGUGAAAUUGAACUCGCUGUGAAGAUGCAGUGUACCCGCGGCAAGACGGAAAGACCCCGUGAACCUUUACUAUAGCUUGACACUGAACAUUGAGCCUUGAUGUGUAGGAUAGGUGGGAGGCUUUGAAGUGUGGACGCCAGUCUGCAUGGAGCCGACCUUGAAAUACCACCCUUUAAUGUUUGAUGUUCUAACGUGGACCCGUGAUCCGGGUUGCGGACAGUGUCUGGUGGGUAGUUUGACUGGGGCGGUCUCCUCCUAAAGAGUAACGGAGGAGCACGAAGGUUGGCUAAUCCUGGUCGGACAUCAGGAGGUUAGUGCAAUGGCAUAAGCCAGCUUGACUGCGAGCGUGACGGCGCGAGCAGGUGCGAAAGCAGGUCAUAGUGAUCCGGUGGUUCUGAAUGGAAGGGCCAUCGCUCAACGGAUAAAAGGUACUCCGGGGAUAACAGGCUGAUACCGCCCAAGAGUUCAUAUCGACGGCGGUGUUUGGCACCUCGAUGUCGGCUCAUCACAUCCUGGGGCUGAAGUAGGUCCCAAGGGUAUGGCUGUUCGCCAUUUAAAGUGGUACGCGAGCUGGGUUUAGAACGUCGUGAGACAGUUCGGUCCCUAUCUGCCGUGGGCGCUGGAGAACUGAGGGGGGCUGCUCCUAGUACGAGAGGACCGGAGUGGACGCAUCACUGGUGUUCGGGUUGUCAUGCCAAUGGCACUGCCCGGUAGCUAAAUGCGGAAGAGAUAAGUGCUGAAAGCAUCUAAGCACGAAACUUGCCCCGAGAUGAGUUCUCCCUGAGACUUUAGGUCUCCUGAAGGAACGUUGAAGACGACGACGUUGAUAGGCCGGGUGUGUAAGCGCAGCGAUGCGUUGAGCUAACCGGUACUAAUGAACCGUGAGGCUUAACCUU
rnacentral:rRNA from 3 species